UUCCUAGUCUAUUGAAUGCAGUGCUGCAGUAUCACUGUGUUACCUCGACUAGCAUCAACUUAACAGCUUCAUGUGAGCUUUGACAGCCAAUGAUCUAAAAACAGCAUGCUGGAUCUUAAGAAGCCAAAGCCCUUAUGAUCCCUUGAAGGCAAAGGCUUUGUUCAGUGAGGAGAGGCUUCUCUCUUGGCCUCACAAAACAUUUGCAAAGCUCCUGUCCUCCCACUUUCCACACAUCUGACUCAACAAAUGGACUAAAACAUAAUGAAAGCAAAAGCAUCUUCCUGCCCAUCAGUGUUGUUAAAAGAUCAAGACACUCCAAUACAUGCAGAAUUGUUGAUGAGUAAACACGUGGUAUAAUACUGGAAGUAGGCUGUACCAUCUGUGUCCAUUCAGUGUCACCCUGCAUAGUUUGUGAUCCAACUGCACAGAAGCCACUGAUGAGUCAGAAUCACAGCAAGGAAAUGAAGCCUACUGACAACCUAUUUUUUUUUUUUUUUUUUUUGAGGAUUGUAUUUUAAAAUCAUUAUUCUGUUUUACUAAGAGAUACAUAAUCAAGUUUGACUAAGGGAUAUGUAAUGAAUCAAUACAUUCAGUUCUUUUUUUAUUUGUUUGUACUAUCCUCUGUAUAUACUUUUUAUCUUCUGUUAUGUACUAUGAGUAGAUAAUGCCAACUAAAGAAAUCUGCAUAUAUGUAUGUAUUGUUACACCAGUUUAGGUUAAAUUUACAGAAGAAAUUCCAGUUAGACAGUAAGAGAUGAAACAGAACCACCUUGAAGGGGCAGCUUAAAGCCUCCCCCGACAAAACCAGAUUGGGGCCACAACAACUGCACACCACAGCCUCAUUCCACCUUUUUUCCAACCAUAAAAGAAAUGGUAAGCAGCUGCUCCUUUUUGCACCUGCCACAGCCAGAAGCCAACUUUAAGGUGCUCCAGUGACAUGUGACUUCUAAAUGCUGCUCCGCUGGAGUGCUUGGAAGCUGGCCCACAUGUGGGCAGCCAGGCAGCAUGAGGUGUCUUGGGGGUAUGCAUCAUCUGUACACCAAGCCUCCAAACUGGCUGGAAGCCACCUUUUUAUGGUAGUCUGUUUUGUUCCUAAGUCAAGAUGAUAUUAGUUUAGUAUGUGUUUCACUUUUGCAAUAAAUAACUCUAUUUCUUACGUUUACCAUACCUUAUAUGUUCUUGGUUCUCUCUCUCUUUAAAU